CAAGUGUGCCCUUUCCUUCUUGACUUUUUAGCAGUUCUGGGUAAAUAUUGAUUUGCCCCCAGUUUACCUUCUCCCUGACUGGCCAUUUGCAGACUCAGGAACUAGCCUCUGUAGGGACUUGAUUUUUCUGUUACUUUCUGGCCGUUUCACCACCCCCCUUCCUCCCUCCAAGUGGCAUUGUAAAACUCACAGUGACAAAGAGACAGAGUAGGGUUCGAGGACCCUGUUCCUGGGGACUUGAAGGCGGUUUUACAUACGGGUCAGACACGGCUGGAGGCCAAGGUCAAGUUGAAAGUUGCAGUCCAGCCAGCAUGAGAAUUGCCAUGCAAGCGUAGAGACACAGGCAGCAGCAAAAGGCCCAUUGCCCACAUCCCCUCACUCUUAAUUUUCUCUCUCUUUUUAAAAUUCUCGGCUCUGACUCUGUUCGGCUGCCCAGAAUUUUUUGGUGCCUUCGUGGGGUUUUUGGGGCGGUGUUCACCGACUCUUCUUCUCUGCCUCCGCCCUGCUUAGCCAGGGCUUUGAGCCUCUUAGGUUUUCCAGCCAGACCCGGAAAAACGAAAACACAGCUUGGGGAGCCCCCACUAGCCGGCGCCUGUGCCAGCUCACCUCUGGCCAUGGCGCAGCUGCCGGUGCACACGGCGGCCAAGGCCAGCUCCACAUUCUUCCCUCCCCUCCCACUUCACCGGAGCCCCGAACCCUGCGCGCAGAGAAAGGGUCUCAGCUCCACAGACGACUGGGUCCCUCCUCACCAAAAAUGGUGAGACAAGAUUUCAUCUGUCGGCCGAGGAGCCACAAGCAGGUACCACAAAGCCACUAGCGCACAGGGAUUCAGAAAAGACGGCAGGAGCCCAAGGAAAACUCCAAUUUGAGUACAGCCCUGCCCUGUUUUCCCCAGAGAGUCCCUGAGCAAGGAGACCUCCACCCCACACACACCAUUUCAGAACAAUCAGGUUCCAGACUCCCAUGAGGAGCAUCUCCCACUCCACAGCCUUGGCCAGCCGCGCCCGGACUCCUCAGAGCUGGCGCAAACUCCGGCCUCCAAAACUCGGCUCUGGGAGGCCUAAAUGACUCCGAAGCCGGCGGCGGCCGUGGCAGCGGCCGUGGUGGUGGAAGAGCUCUUUUCCCCGACAGUGCCACUGAUCGCUCUUCACUGGCACUGGAAACAGCCUUCGCGGAAAGGACCGGAGCAUGCGUUAGAAGCAGAGGGAGCUUGGAGAAGGGUUCAGCUGGAAGGAGGAAACGCCUUCUCGCAGUGCGCGGCCAGCCCGCGGGGGACACCGGCUUGCUGGACUGCGGGGGCCUGUGCCACCCAGGGAGUGACCUGCGGGUCACUCAGCCGGGGCGCUGGGCGAGCGCGGGACGGCCCGGAGAAUUCCGUGCGGCUGCGACGGGAAAAGGACGAGGGAUCUCUGUACCCGACGCUGCCACUGGCCCAAAGGAAUUUUACCCGCGAGCGCCCACCCCCACCCUAGCUUGAUGCUUACGCCCGCAACAAAACAGGAAACCAGGACCGGGCAGUGCAUUCUUUAAGUCAACAAAUACACUGAAGACUUCGAGCGUGUGAAGGAAGUAGGGGGUUUGCACGUAAGCCUGGCCCCGCCGGGCUCGGCUUUCUCGCUGAGAAAGCGGCGCAGGCAGCCAGGCGGCCUGGGCCCGCGGGGGUCCAUCUCGCCCUAGACUCCUAAGAACUCCCACGGCCCUGUUCCCAGUUGCGAAUUCUUACUGCACAAAGCGACGGAGGGAAGGAAAUUCACCAGCGCAGCGAGGAGGAAGGUGAACUCAGGACCCCUUCAAGUACACACUGAGGUGUGAUCAGAGUUUUAUGGGCACGUUAUAUGCUGUAAUCAUAACGAUGUGUGUGCCUUGAUAUGCACGCAUAUUCACGCAUCAAACGUGCAUACACACACAGAGUGAAUGUGUGCAUCCAAUGUCAUGUGGGUGAAAUACAGGUAUCAUACCCAGCCCUACGAAAAAAAAUUCGCCCUGUCGGACCAGCCUGGUGACAUACUUCGCUGGUGCAUCUCCUUACUCACUCUUACUUUUCCGACCCCUCACCAUUCCCUCUCCUGUGGCUUGGUAAAUACACCUGUCCUCCGUGGAAGGUGAGUCCUGGACUGGCGUUGCCCGGUUCGCAUGUCCUCCCCAGAACCUCCGUCUGGCCCCAGGGACCCUCACUGAGCGGGUCUAGAGCACCCAGCACUGUUCAAGGAGCAGCCGCUGUUCCUUUGUCCCGCAGCUCCAGCCCCGUUCGGCCCAGCUCUCAGGGAAACGAAGCGCUCAGUAAGAACUUUUGAUAUUAGUUUGUAUGGGUAUUUACACUCUGGUGAGGGGAGCUGAGUACGGAAGCUCCAUUAAUCAUACCCCAACCUCGGGUUUAGAUAUUCAGUUUAUGGGUGGGGAGAGGGAGUUUGCCGGAAAGAAAGCAUCAAGGUUGGCCGCUGACUCCAGAGAAAUGAAAAGGGAGCAAGGUCGUUUUCUGUUUCUGGAAAUCAAGAAUUAGGAAUGGGCAAAUACAGGUGCUAACCAACAGACCACUUUUUUGUUUUUUGGUAGCCCUUUGGCAGGGAUAGUUUUUCCACCUUUGCCCGAUACAAUUUUUUAAAAAAAAUCCUUUUGUUAUGGAAUUUGUCAAACACACACACAAGCAUAACAAACCCCUAUGUAUCCAGCUCCUAGUUUUGACCCCUAUUAUAAUUUCAUCUUCAAUGUUUUAUUAUCCACUUCCUCUCUCUCUGUCUUUAGUAUUUUAAAGUAAAUCCCAGAUAGCAUCACAUCAUUUCACCCCCACCAUAGGAUUUCAAAGAUCUGUUAUAUUUCAAGAUUGAGUAAAAGGGCUUGAAAUUGAGUUAUUGCAAUGAAACUCUAGAAAAAACUUGAGGGUUCACCCAGGAGUAAGCUGGACAAAAAAGGGGUUUGAGGGGUGGACCCAUCUUGCCUAAAAAUCUUGUCUCAUCUUUCUAAAAAUUACAUAUGAAAGAGGAAGAUUUAUGUUACCUUUUUAUGUGAGAGAAUCGUCCUUUAAUAGAAAAUUUCUGUUGCUGCGUCAGAAUUAUGGGGGAACACAAAAAACAUACCUCUGUCCUUAGUGUGUCCUAAAUAAACAUAUAUUCACUUAUUAGUGGGUAAGUGACUAUAUUCUAUUUCAGCACCACUCCUCCCCUGGUAGAAACUCAAAAGAAAUUUCUAAUGAUUAAACUAGGAAAGUUUGCACUGAAUUGAUGGCUCAUCAGAGCAACUGCUGUUUUCAGGAAGAAAUUCAAUGCCAUGCAUUGAAAAUAUCCCCCUAGCAAUAAGGGUUUUUUUUUUUUUUAAAGAAUGAAUAAAGGUGUUAUGGUUUCUUUUGUUUUAA
rnacentral:antisense_RNA from 1 species